rnacentral:rRNA from 1 species
GUCGAGAAUCUUUCGCAAUGGGGGAAACCCUGACGAAGCGACGCCGCGUGCAGGAUGAAGGUCUUCGGAUUGUAAACUGCUGUCGGCUGGGAAGAAAUAGUUACCAAUGAACAAUUGGUAGCCUUGACGGUACCAGCAAAGGAAGCCACGGCUAACUCUGUGCCAGCAGCCGCGGUAAUACAGAGGUGGCUAGCGUUGUUCGGAUUUAUUGGGCGUAAAGGGUCCGUAGGCGGCCCGAAAAGUCGGAUGUGAAAGCCCACAGCUUAACUGUGGAACGGCAUUCGAAACUUUCGGGCUCGAGUGUGAGAGGGGUAAAGGGAAUUCCCGGUGUAAGGGUGAAAUCUGCAGAGAUCGGGAAGAACACCAGUCGCGUAGGCGCUUUACUGGCUCACAACUGACGCUGAGGGGCGAAAGCUAGGGGAGCAAACGGGAUUAGAAACCCGAGUAGUCC